rnacentral:rRNA from 2 species
AAAUUGAAGAGUUUGAUCAUGGCUCAGAUUGAACGCUGGCGGCAGGCCUAACACAUGCAAGUCGAACGGUAACAGGAAGCAGCUUGCUGCUUCGCUGACGAGUGGCGGACGGGUGAGUAAUGUCUGGGAAACUGCCUGAUGGAGGGGGAUAACUACUGGAAACGGUAGCUAAUACCGCAUAAUGUCGCAAGACCAAAGAGGGGGACCUUCGGGCCUCUUGCCAUCGGAUGUGCCCAGAUGGGAUUAGCUUGUUGGUGGGGUAACGGCUCACCAAGGCGACGAUCCCUAGCUGGUCUGAGAGGAUGACCAGCCACACUGGAACUGAGACACGGUCCAGACUCCUACGGGAGGCAGCAGUGGGGAAUAUUGCACAAUGGGCGCAAGCCUGAUGCAGCCAUGCCGCGUGUAUGAAGAAGGCCUUCGGGUUGUAAAGUACUUUCAGCGGGGAGGAAGGGAGUAAAGUUAAUACCUUUGCUCAUUGACGUUACCCGCAGAAGAAGCACCGGCUAACUCCGUGCCAGCAGCCGCGGUAAUACGGAGGGUGCAAGCGUUAAUCGGAAUUACUGGGCGUAAAGCGCACGCAGGCGGUUUGUUAAGUCAGAUGUGAAAUCCCCGGGCUCAACCUGGGAACUGCAUCUGAUACUGGCAAGCUUGAGUCUCGUAGAGGGGGGUAGAAUUCCAGGUGUAGCGGUGAAAUGCGUAGAGAUCUGGAGGAAUACCGGUGGCGAAGGCGGCCCCCUGGACGAAGACUGACGCUCAGGUGCGAAAGCGUGGGGAGCAAACAGGAUUAGAUACCCUGGUAGUCCACGCCGUAAACGAUGUCGACUUGGAGGUUGUGCCCUUGAGGCGUGGCUUCCGGAGCUAACGCGUUAAGUCGACCGCCUGGGGAGUACGGCCGCAAGGUUAAAACUCAAAUGAAUUGACGGGGGCCCGCACAAGCGGUGGAGCAUGUGGUUUAAUUCGAUGCAACGCGAAGAACCUUACCUGGUCUUGACAUCCACAGAACUUUCCAGAGAUGGAUUGGUGCCUUCGGGAACUGUGAGACAGGUGCUGCAUGGCUGUCGUCAGCUCGUGUUGUGAAAUGUUGGGUUAAGUCCCGCAACGAGCGCAACCCUUAUCCUUUGUUGCCAGCGGUCCGGCCGGGAACUCAAAGGAGACUGCCAGUGAUAAACUGGAGGAAGGUGGGGAUGACGUCAAGUCAUCAUGGCCCUUACGACCAGGGCUACACACGUGCUACAAUGGCGCAUACAAAGAGAAGCGACCUCGCGAGAGCAAGCGGACCUCAUAAAGUGCGUCGUAGUCCGGAUUGGAGUCUGCAACUCGACUCCAUGAAGUCGGAAUCGCUAGUAAUCGUGGAUCAGAAUGCCACGGUGAAUACGUUCCCGGGCCUUGUACACACCGCCCGUCACACCAUGGGAGUGGGUUGCAAAAGAAGUAGGUAGCUUAACCUUCGGGAGGGCGCUUACCACUUUGUGAUUCAUGACUGGGGUGAAGUCGUAACAAGGUAACCGUAGGGGAACCUGCGGUUGGAUCACCUCCUUACCUUAAAGAAGC